GAGUUUGAUCAUGGCUCAGAUUGAACGCUGGCGGCAUGCCUUACACAUGCAAGUCGAACGGUAACAGGUCUUCGGAUGCUGACGAGUGGCGAACGGGUGAGUAAUACAUCGGAACGUGCCCGAUCGUGGGGGGAUAACGAAGCGAAAGCUUUGCUAAUACCGCAUAAGAUCUACGGAUGAAAGCAGGGGACCGCAAGGCCUUGCGCGAACGGAGCGGCCGAUGGCAGAUUAGGUAGUUGGUGGGAUAAAAGCUUACCAAGCCGACGAUCUGUAGCUGGUCUGAGAGGACGACCAGCCACACUGGGACUGAGACACGGCCCAGACUCCUACGGGAGGCAGCAGUGGGAAUUUUGGACAAUGGGCGAAGGCCUGAUCCAGCCAUGCCGCGUGCAGGAUGAAGGCC
rnacentral:rRNA from 1 species